CUAGCAGAGUGGAUGGGUUUACGCAGCAGCGGCUAGCUUUCCAAACAUGGGAAUGGCUGCACAUUCACUCAUAUCCCCAUGCUUCUCUGCAUCGCCGCCUCCUUUCACUGUUUCUCGCUUUAGACACUCCAAUUUCCCUCUCUCUAAACCUCUCUCUCUUCACCGAAACCCUAGCUGCAUCAAUCGGAUUUUCUCCGGUCUUUGCGGAAGGCUUGGCUCCGGAUUCGAUUGCUCUCCAGUCCGCAAAUUUCUCGCCGGGAAGAACCCGCUGUCCUCGGCGCUGGACUCAUUUUUCGUCCUCUGCACCUCCGUCGCUCUGUCCUUCGCUCUCUUUAUUGCCGACGUCGAUUCCGCUUCGGCUUUUGUAGUCACUACGCCGAGGAAGCUGCAGUCGGAUGAGCUCGCUACGGUUCGACUUUUUCAAGAGAACACGCCUUCCGUUGUCUACAUCACCAAUCUUGCGGUCAAGCAGGAUGCUUUUACAUUGGAUGUGCUGGAGGUGCCGCAAGGAUCUGGAUCAGGUUUUGUUUGGGACAAACAGGGCCACGUUGUCACAAAUUAUCAUGUGAUUCGGGGUGCAUCUGAUCUCAAGGUCACUCUUGCUGACCAGUCAACUUACGAUGCAAAAGUUGUUGGAUUUGACCAAGAUAAAGAUGUUGCUGUAUUGCGUGUUGAUGCACCCAAAGAUAAACUGAGACCUAUACCUAUUGGUAUCUCUGCUGACUUACUUGUUGGCCAAAAGGUUUUUGCCAUUGGAAAUCCUUUUGGACUUGACCAUACACUUACUACUGGUGUCAUCAGUGGGCUUAGAAGAGAGAUCAGUUCUGCAGCUACUGGUCGUCCAAUCCAGGAUGUUAUCCAGACAGAUGCUGCCAUCAACCCUGGCAACAGUGGAGGGCCACUUCUGGAUAGCUCAGGAAGCCUUAUUGGGAUAAAUACAGCUAUAUACUCUCCUUCUGGUGCAUCCUCUGGUGUUGGUUUUUCGAUUCCAGUUGACACAGUAGGUGGCAUUGUUGAUCAGUUGGUGAAGUUUGGGAAAGUUACAAGACCAAUUUUAGGAAUCAAGUUUGCACCUGAUCAGUCUGUGGAACAACUAGGAGUUAGUGGGGUGCUUGUGUUAGAUGCUCCUCCAAGUGGUCCAGCAGGCAAAGCAGGCCUGCAACCAACUAAACGUGAUACCUAUGGCAGACUUAUAUUGGGGGAUAUUAUAACAUCUGUAAAUGGAAAAAAGGUCACUAAUGGGAGUGACUUGUACAGAAUUCUUGACCAAUGUAAAGUGGGUGAUACGGUGACUGUUGAGGUACUAAGAGGUGAUCACAAAGAGAAGAUCCCUGUAUUGCUCGAGCCAAAGCCUGAUGAAUCAUAAUCAGUGAAAUGUGACCACCAUGUAGAAUCAAUCUAUCAGGGAGAUGAAGAAAUUCAUAUUUUGUGUAUCAAUUGUUGAACGGAGCUGGAGCUGCAUUUGCAUUUUGGUCAUGAAUCAUUUUGCACUGCUUUGCAUAUUUGCCCGGGUGCCAUGCUCAUGAAGUUCAUGUGGAAGACCGGUGCUUUUGCCUGUUUGAUGCGUGAGCAGCAGGGGGGACAGUCUUGAGGCCUGAGAUGGGUGGAGAAAAUGGAAGAAAGGGCUUGUUUGAUGCAUGUACGUGCGUUUUCGGCUUUGUAUGUGCAUGAAGUUCUAAGACCACUAACCUUGGUUGUCUGGAGUCUUAACUGGUUUUGACCAUUUGCCAAGAGAAAGUAGUAUUUAUGUUGACAGUUAUAACAUAACGAAAUGAUGCCCUCCACUGAUAAAGGGUUUGGCAUUGCUGGCGCCGGAGAAGGUGGUCUUGGAGGAAAGCCACAGUAAGGGGGUGUGAGUGAGAGUGAUUUCUUCUUGGGAUUUCUCGCCUUAUACUUGCUCUGUUGCCCUGAGAAUGGACCUCUUUAGAGGUCCACAGGACAAAUGCAUAUAUGCUUCGGGCAGGGUAUUAUGGUUCCUUGAUUGUGUCCGGUCGGGAUUAUUACCUGAUGGUUCAUCGGUAGCCCAGUGGUGGAUGAUUAUCUUGAUUUCUUUCGGAUCUAGUAUUUAGUCUCGUGAGAUUUAGAUGUGCUU